rnacentral:lncRNA from 1 species
CUAGAUUUGGAAAUCUCUGUCUACGUGUAUGAAAGGAGGGAAGCAGCUAUAAAUUAGAAAGGAGAUAGGAAAGUGAAGAUAUUUACUAGACUCUGCCUUUGCUUGCAGUUCUCUGGCUUGAUUGAGGAGGUUCUCACUUUCAUCUUUAUGGGACUUUGGCUAAAAAAAUAAACUGUCAAAGGAACUGGCAUUUGCUGACUGGACUACAGCACAUCUCGAAGAAUCUGCAGACUGAAACCUUCAAGGCAUUCAUGAAAUGGUCUUCCCUUAGUUCCCCUGCCUUUUCCACUCUUUCUGCCAUUUGGAUUUCACACUGGAAGUUCAAGAGAUGACAUCAGAAAACAGAAAAGCCAGUGGGAAAGGCAAGGAGAUUUGGAAGAGUGUUUGAAAAUUUUGGCAAUCAAGAAUAAGAAGGUCAGUAAAUUUCAGUGCAGGACCACAUAAGUCUAAAAUACUGUGACUGACUACUUCCUAAAAAUCACCUUGUAACACAGGCUCUCUUGGUUUUUAAUACAACCACAGACCUACGAUUUUGCUUAAAGAUCGUGCAACUGUGUAGACGGAUGUUCCUGCAAACCCGAUUGUUCUGCUACUGCAUAAAGAAUAUGUCUUGAAGGACAAGAGUGGAGACAGUUGGAUCAGCUAGGAGGCUCUGGUGGCAAUUUAAACUGUAGAUGAGGUGACUUGGACCAAAGAGCAGCAGUAGAGACAAGGAAAGUGGUCAGAAAUCAAGAUUCAAGGCCUGGUGUGGUGGCUCACGCCUGUAAUCCCAGCACUCUGGGAUGCCAAGAAAGCAGGAAGCCAAGUCACCAGGCAGAACUGAUAGCAUGGGAAGUGGGUUCCCACCAGUCGCAUGCAGCUGCUCUGGUAUGGCCAUGGUGCUGGGGAUGAGUCAGAAAUCUCAGUCUUUUCUGGCUUAAAGAAAAGGAAGAAUGGAACCCAUCUUCUCCAGAUAUGUUGUUAUGGGGUAGGUGUAGGUCUAGAGACAGAAAAGAAUCACAUUUGAACAUCCUCUUAAUGCAAGAACAUUUUUAAAGAAACAAUUUUCCCUGAAUAUCCAUCAAGCCUAAUACAGUGUGACUAUCUGAGAUCAAUUAUUCUUAUCUUUACAAAGACUGGGAGUUAUACAGCAAAAGCAAUACUGUAAAAUAUGUGUAUUAAAAUAUGUAAAAGAAGGGAGUUG